ensembl:lncRNA
CUCAGCACAUUGCAUGCACCUGAGCUGCCCUGGGCUGGCCCUGCCUUCCCCCCAGGUGCUCCAUCACUGCUUCAGGCCAUGACUCAGCAUUGCCAAUAAAUGAUGAAAUGGGACAGCAGCAACACAGCAAGGGUUGGUAGCAGAUUUCUCAGGGACAGAGCCAGGGCAGGAGAGAUGGGGCUACACCCCCCAUGUUCACACCGUGCUGGGAAUACCUGCUCCAUGCACAUGGUGUAUGGAUCAAUUUGAAAUAUCUGCAACUCAAAGGCAUAAAGCAUUAUCCACUGCAUGUCCCACCAGGAUAAUAAGCCAUCCUCCCUGCCCAUGUCCAUCAAGCAAGCAGAUAAUCCACCCUCUUUAUUUCCCCUGGAUAAAGGAGAUGUCCUUCUGACACGUGGGUAUCUGAGACCUCAGGAUUAGAUGGAGCAGCAGAAUGAAGCAUGAUGUAAAUGAGUCGUUCCUCUCCUGGAUCGUUUGGCGUGGAGUAGGGAGGUUGGGAGAAAUUACAGCUGGGCCCAUAAAUCACGGCAUUAAUUACGUAUUCAGCCAAUGUUGCCAAGGCUUUCUGUUUGCAAAUUGCCUGCAAACAGAUUGAAAAAGUCCCCACCAUAUUCCUUGUUUGAAAAUAUUUACAAAUUUCUUCACGGUCUAAGGAUCAAUUCCAGUUGAAAAUGUGAUUAUGGAAUCUACAGUUCACAUUCACACCAUUCCUGCUGACCCAGCUGUGGCCUUUGGAUGUUUCUGUGCCAUAAAUAUGCAACAAAGAAAUCAGAAAGUCACAAUUCUAAGGCCAGAAGGAAACAAAAGCUUCUAGUCUGACUUCCCAAAGGUUCUCCUCUGCUGAGUGCUUCUCUGAGCCUAAUGAACUCCCCACAAGAACAACUUUUAGAAGAAUUCAGCGUCUCGAUCCAGCACCUUGAAGUAGUGAAGAAUUUACCGCCGUCUUCAGUUAGCUGAGCCAGGGCUUAAUUACCCUUGCCGUUUAAUUUGUAUCUGAACGUUUCUAAUUUGCAUUCAGCUCCUGUUACGCCUUCUCUAAAGAUCCCUUGGCUCUCUGAAGCUUCUCCUGGCGUGGCUGCUCAUAGAGCAGCAAUUACCACCGCUGCCUCAUCUACGGCUUCGAGUCCAGACCCUUCACCUGCACCAUGGGUUCCCAUCCAGCCCAGCCUGGAUUCAAAGCAAUGGGGCAUGUCCGUGACAAGUGGGAAUUUUGCAAUCAGGGAGAUGUUUUGAAACGUUCCCAGAGGGGAGGAUGCGAAGGAAAAGUUUGCUUUCCAAGAGAAUUCACGCUAGUGAAGCUCAACUGGCUGUUCAAGAAUCCAUCUCCAUCACGUCAGCUCCCGACGAGCAGCCAGCACGCCGGCUCCUUCUGCUUUCGAGAGCACUUGGAAAGCUCGGCGGCGCGGGGAAGGAGCUCAUUUGGCAGGUGCAGGCAGACAGAACAACUGCUGUCCAUCUGCUCCGCUGCUCACGCUUGUGUUUCUAAUUGCGUCUUCAGGACAAAAGCUCUGCUCAGAGCCCCGCUAGCCAGGAGUCAUUUGAAUAAAAGUUGUCUCCUCCGUGGUUCUCUUCUCUGCUCUGGUCUUGCUGGAUUUUCCCCCUUGGUUUGCAGAUGGCAGCUGUCUGGUCGCUCCCCACCUAUCCUUGGAGCAAUGUGGGGCAAAAUCUGGUGAUGGUAGAUUAAAUACACCAAACUCACCCAGACCCACUGCUGUGGAUGUCACCAGUGUGAAUCCCCUCAGCUACAUGCCUGGCAGAUUGUCUUUACCCAACAGCAUUCUUCAUGUCAUACAAAACCACAAUUUCACUCUCCAGUCCACAGCAAGGAGUAGGAAUUGGGUGCCCCAGGGAGGCCGAUCCCAAAUCUUGAGUGCCAGGCCCCAAAAACACACACCGAUGGACAAAGCCAUGGGUCGGGUGUUUUCUUCCCUGCCACGGAGGCAGCUGCUUUGAUUUCAGUUUCAAAACCCCACCGUAAGGCACAGGGAGGAAAACCAGAAAGCAAACGUUUCUGAUAAGCUGGGUUCAAAGGCGAAGCAUGAAAUUUGAAUGAAUGUGGAUCCAAACUAGUCCAGUCUCGGCUCAGAAAUGGAAAAUGAAUGCAAUAGAGAUUUAAUUUAG